ACUCCUACGGGAGGCAGCAGUGGGGAAUAUUGCACAAUGGGGGAAACCCUGAUGCAGCCAUGCCGCGUGUGUGAAGAAGGCCUUCGGGUUGUAAAGCACUUUCAGUAGGGAGGAAGGUAGUGUAGUUAACACCUGCAUUAUUUGACGUUACCUACAGAAGAAGCACCGGCUAACUCCGUGCCAGCAGCCGCGGUAAUACGGAGGGUGCGAGCGUUAAUCGGAAUUACUGGGCGUAAAGCGCAUGCAGGCGGCCUGUUAAGUCAGAUGUGAAAGCCCGGGGCUUAACCUCGGAAUUGGCAUUUGAAACUGGCAGGCUAGAGUCUUGUAGAGGGGGGUAGAAUUUCAGGUGUAGCGGUGAAAUGCGUAGAGAUCUGAAGGAAUACCAGUGGCGAAGGCGGCCCCCUGGACAAAGACUGACGCUCAGAUGCGAAAGCUGGGGAGCAAACAGGAUUAGAUACCCUGGUAGCACAGAG
rnacentral:rRNA from 1 species